rnacentral:rRNA from 1 species
GACGAACGCUGGCGGCGUGCUUAACACAUGCAAGUCGAACGGAAAGGCCCUGCUUUUGUGGGGUGCUCGAGUGGCGAACGGGUGAGUAACACGUGAGUAACCUGCCCUUGACUUUGGGAUAACUUCAGGAAACUGGGGCUAAUACCGGAUAGGAGCUCCUGCUGCAUGGUGGGGGUUGGAAAGUUUCGGCGGUUGGGGAUGGACUCGCGGCUUAUCAGCUUGUUGGUGGGGUAGUGGCUUACCAAGGCUUUGACGGGUAGCCGGCCUGAGAGGGUGACCGGCCACAUUGGGACUGAGAUACGGCCCAGACUCCUACGGGAGGCAGCAGUGGGGAAUAUGGCACAAUGGGCGGAAGCCUGAUGCAGAAACGCCGCGUGCGGGAUGACGGCCUUCGGGUUGUAAACCGCUUUCGCCUGUGACGAAGCGUGAGUGACGGUAAUGGGUAAAGAAGCACCGGCUAACUACGU